rnacentral:rRNA from 1 species
CACGUAGGGUGCGAGCGUUGUCCGGCAUUAUUGGGCGUAAAGAGCUCGUAGGCGGUGUGUCGCGUCGGCCGUGAAAACCUGCAGCUUAACUGUGGGCUUGCGGUCGAUACGGGCAUCACUGGAGUUCGGCAGGGGAGACUGGAAUUCCUGGUGUAGCGGUGAAAUGCGCAGAUAUCAGGAGGAACACCGGUGGCGAAGGCGGCUUGCUGGGCCUUACCUGACGCUGAGGAGCGAAAGCGUGGGGAGCGAACAGG